UACGUAGGUGGCGAGCGUUGUCCGGAAUCAUUGGGCGUAAAGAGCGCGUAGGUGGUUUGUCAGGUCUGAUGUGAAAUCCUGGGGCUCAACUCCAGAACUGCAUCGGAAACCGGCUUACUAGAGUCUGGGAGAGGAGAGUGGAAUUCCUGGUGUAGCGGUGAAAUGCGUAGAUAUCAGGAGGAACACCAGUAGCGAAGGCGGCUCUCUGGAACAGUACUGACGCUGAGGCGCGAAAGCUAGGGGAGCGAACAGG
rnacentral:rRNA from 1 species